AAGAAACAUGACACUGAAGAAGAAACAGAACAGACAGCUGAACAGGAUUCAGAUCUUAUUUGUGUGGACUCCUGUCCAAUUUGUGGAAAGCAGUUUCCUGCAGAGAUUGUUGCCUACCAUGCAAGUUCAUGUGGGGAAAGUUUUGCAGAGAUUUUCCCUACAUCCACACUGCCUGACUCUGAAAUUGUGCAAGUGGUCUCUGAAAGCAGCGCUGGUGCCUCUUUCUCUGUCAGCUCAACACUUCACACGAGACCUAGUACAUCAUUUACACUUCCACCAGAGGAUAUGCCAUUAGGGUCCAGA